rnacentral:lncRNA from 1 species
AUCAGCCCUACGGAAGGCCCACAGUCGAUCAGAACGACGUGUAAGGCCCUAAAGAAAAAUUCUGAAAUUUGGGCCUAUAUACCCGUGUGGGCCCACACGCAAAAAAAUGGCCUUACCCGUGUGGCCCACACAGUCUGGCACACGGCCCACACACCCGUGUGUAAUAGACGGCCUCAUACAUAGUCAUGUGUAGCACACGACCUAUCACAAUGCCAUAUGGUGUCGGCAAGCCCAAUUUUCAGCUUUCACCGGUCAUCGUUUUCUGGCAUUUUUGUUACACACUUGAUUUGAUGCUGAUGAAAAUGCAACCUCGAGACCACCAACACCUAAAAACAACAUUCCAACGCCUAAUUUCAGUUAAAAUUUAUGAAACUCAAACAAAAAAUUAUUCAAACAAAGCUUCGUGAAAGCAUCCAAUGCAUUCUCACACUUACUACCAACAAAUAGGAAACAACCAACACUAAAUUCGUUGGAGAAGCACCAGCCACUUCUUGUCUUUCCCUAAAUGAGAAUUAAAUGAAACACUAACAAUGAAUUCCGUCAAAACAUAAUUAGAACCCCCCAAAUUUAUACGGUUAAGAAACUACUCAAUAGCUUACCUAUUUAGAAUGGGCCAAAGAACCCGAAUGCACAAGAUUAGAAUGAACGAUUGAUGAACAGAGUUGAAGGAGGGAGCAACAAAAAUUUUGCAGAGGAAAGGGGAGAAAAAACGCCAGAAAGAAAGAUUUUCGGAAAAAGAAUAAAAAUUAAAAAAAUAAAAAUAAAAAACUAAAUCAAAUAAAAUUCCAACUCCCCACCAUCCUACUAACCAAAAAAUUCCACCAAAACCAACCCACUAACUCUCAUCCACUACCACAGACUUUCAAUUCUACUGAACUUUUACUACACCACCGAUACACACUCUCAGAAGCAAAAAUUAUCAUCCUUCGUUCACUCGGGGGUUCUAACACAAGACCUUAAGGCAAGCUAACACCUUACCACUUGAACCAACAAGCUCAUUCUGAUAUGAGUUGGCUGAAAAAUAUAAUAUAAGUCAAACCACUAAAGAUAAGACUAGGAUAAAAAAUAGCAAAAUUUCUAAAAGUGGGACUUGAACCUAAGACCUCAAGCACAUAAAAAAUAGCAGAAUUUUCAAUAGGACUUGAACCCAAGACCUCAAGCACACCCAACAUAUCAUGUAGGGUAUAAAAUACCUAUGUAGCCCUACACACUACGUAGUGCCUAUAAGACACUUUUCAGAUUUAGUUGCAACAUUGUUGUCAGUAAAUUGGCGAGAUAUCGCCUCACACAGAAUACUUCCUCCUCAUAAUACAUAACCCAUCCCAUUAUCAGAUAUAGAUAAAAUAGAAUAUCAGAUAUUACACAUGCUUAUACAUAAUAGAACAGACCAUAUAUAUCGCAUUCCAUAACACUCAUAUAAAGGUAAUUUACACCAAGUUCAAUCUAACAUAGUAGUAGAUUUCAUGCCUUAAGGCUUAUACCACACAUAUCAGCCCUACGGAAGGCCCACAAUUGAUCGAAACGACAUGCACGACCCUAGAGAAAAAUUUUGAAAUUUGGCCUACGUACCCUUAUGGCCCACACUGCCCAAUUUUCAGCUUUCACCGAUCAUUAUUUUUUCACAUUUUCGCUACACACCUGAUUUGAUUAUGACGCAAAAGCAACCCCGAGACCACUGAAACCUAAAAAUAUCUUUCCAAUGCCCAAUUUCAAUUAAAAUUUAUGAAACUCAAACAAAAAAUUGUUCAAACAAAGCCUCGCGAAAGCAUCCAACGCAUUCGCACACUUAUCGUCAACAAACAAGAAACAACCAACACUCAAUUCACUAGAGAAGCACCAGCUGCUUCUUGUCUUUCCCCUAAACAAGAAUUAAACAAAACACCAACAAUGAAUUCCGUUAAAACAUAAAUAGAAUCCCUUCAAAUGUAUAUGAUUAAGAAACUACUCAAGAGCUUACCUACUCAGAACAGGCCGAAGAACCCAAAUGCACAAUGAUUAGAACGAACGAUUGAUGAACAAAGUUGAAGGAGGGAGCAACAUAAAUUUUGCAGAGGAAAGGAGGGAAAAAAGGUCAAAAAGAAAGAUUUUGGGAAAAAGAAUAAAAAUUUUAAAAAAUAAUAAAAAUAAAAACUAAAUCAAAAAAAAUCCCAACUCCCUACUAUCCCACUAACCAACAAAUCCCACCAAAACAAACCCACUAACUCUCAUCCAAUACCACAGACUUUCAAUUCCCCCGAACCUUUAGUACACCACCGAUACACACCGUCAAAAUAAAAAAUUAUCAUCCUUUGCUUACACAGAGGUUCAAACACAAGACCCUAAGUCAAGCCCAUUUUGAUAUGAGUUGACCGAAAAAAUAAUAGAAGCCAAACCACUAGAGAUAAGGCUAGGAUAAAAAAUAGUAGAAUUUCCAAAAGUGGGACUUGAACCCUAGACCUCAAGCACACCCUCAAAUCACUUAACCACUGUAGCAAAUACUUAUUUAUGACAAACUUCAUAAAAAUAGAGUUAAAUAAAUCAGGGCGUUAUAGUGCUCCUUGAGUAAUAAUAUUGUAAAAAUGACUUUAAAAUUAUUGUCGAACGAUCUUAUACCUUCUAGUGGCUAAACAAAAUAAUAAGUUACCAAUAAAAAACUAUGAAAUUCUUCCCACUAGUUCUGCUUCAUUCCCUAAAAUGAAUGUAGGGGCACAUAACAAUUAUAAAAAAUGAAAAUAUAGAGAUCAUGAUUAUUGUUGUAAUUGAGGAUGUGAUUGGAAAUCAUGAUUAUAAUAGUGGUACUUCUAACCACUAGAAAAAAGAAUAAUAAUGAAAAACAAAAAAAUUGUGGACAAAAUAUUUGAAGAUUUUGACAUAUUCCCUGAAGUGAAUAUUGCAAAUAAUUAUUUACAAAUUAUAUUUUUAAUUGAGUUAAUGACAUUAUGGAAUUCACAUUGAUAUAAACAUUUCCAUAAGUAAAUGUCACAAUAUUGCUUAUAUGUGAAUGCAAAAUUUAAAAAAAUGAUGAUAAAAUUAUUAAUUGUCAAAAUUUAUAUUUACAUUAUUAGUACAAUUGAAAAUUUGAAAAACAUGAUUAAGUAAACCAGAAGUUUACUGAUACAAAUACAUUUCUUAUUUGUCAUAGCCAGCUAGAUCAUCCAAGAUUAUAUAUGAUGCAAAAAUUAAUUGAGAAUUCAUAUAGACAUUUAUUAAAGAACCAAAGAUUCUUUAAUUUAAAGAAUUCUCAUGUGUUGCUUGUUCUCAAUAAUAAUUGAUUAUUACAAAUUCACUGGUUAAAGUUGAGAUUUAAUGUUUUGCAUUUUUGAAAUAAAUAUGGGUCAAUUCAUCCACCAUGUGGAUGAUUUUGACAUUAUAUGAUUUUGGUAGAUGCAUCUACAAACUAAUCACAUGCGUUAUCAACUUGCAACUUGUCGUUUGUGAGAUUGCUUGUUUAAAUGAUUAAUUUCAACUUAUGCAAUUAAAACAAUUCAUCUUGCUUAUGUUGCUGAGUUUAUGUCCCACACUUUCAAUAAUUAUUGUAUGUCAAUCGGGAUAAAAGUUGAACAUCCUGUAGCUCAUGUUCACAUAUAAAAGGAUAUAGCUGAAUCAUUUAUCAAAUGCCUCUAACUAAUAGUUAAACCAUUACUUAUGAGAACAAAACUUCCUAUUUCAACAUGAGAUUGUAUUGAUUUACAUGUACGCAUCAAACCAAUAAAUUAUAAAUACUCCCCAUUACAAUUGAUUUUUGGUCAAUAGUUAAAUAUUUUUCAUCCUACAAUUUUUGGAUGUGCGGUAUAUGUUCCAACUGCUCCACCACAACGCACAAAGAUGGGUCAUCAUAAGAGAUUGAGAAUGUAUAUUUAUAUGAGUCUCCUUAUAAUAUUUUUGAGCUAUUAAUUUCAUAUUUAGUUAUGACAUGACUUGUCAAUUUUCCCAACUUUAGGGGGAGAGAAUACAAAGUUGGAUUAAUAAAGUACUUGAAAUGAAUUAUCAAUGUCUAAGAUCCUUGUACAAAGCAAUGUGAACUAGGAGUUCAACAGAUAAUUCAUUUUACAAAUCAACUGUCAAAUUCAUUAAAUCUCACAUACUAGUUGAAAAUGCUCCAAUAUGAAUUGAUGUCCUAAUAGGGAAAACUAUUAAUGCAAAAGAAAGUAAUUUAUGCCUGAAGCAUGGAAGAUCGGACGGUAUCCUCGUAAAAGAAAUGAGUAAACAUUCAAGAUGACCAUAUAGUGGAGGCGGGGGUUCCUAAAAAGACCCAUGACAUAACUAAUUAGAAAACUCAAGAAAAUAUUCUGGUACCUAAAAGUGAAAAUGUUAAUGAUGAAAAUAAAGAGAUCUCGAUAAGUUAUGUCAAUACGAGAAAAAGAUGGAACCGAAAAAUAAUAUUGCUAUUGAAAUAAUAAAAGAAUCAGGAUCCUAAGCCUAAAUCUAUUGAGGAAUGUAAAAAUAGAAAAGAUUGGUCAAAAUGGAAAGAUGCAAUUUAAGCAUAAUUGAAUUCAUUUUCUAAACGCGAAGUUUUUUGGACCUAUAAUCCAAACACCUAAAUGUGUAAAGCCGGUAAGAUAUAAAUGGGUAUUUGUGCAAAAAUAAAAUGACAAAAAAAUGAAGUCGUAAGAUAUAAAGCACGACUUGUAGCAUAAAGAUUUUCACAAAGGCCCGACAUUGAUUAUGAAGAGACAUAUUCUCCUAUGGUGGAUGCAAUGACAUUUAGAUAUCUUAUUAGUCUAGUAGUACGUGAAAAAAUUAGCAUGUAUCUAAUGGAUGUUGUUACAGCUUAUUUAUAUGGUACACUUGAUAGCGAAAUUUAUAUGAAAAUCCCUGAAGGAUUUAAAAUCCCAGAAGGAUAUAGAAUUUCUCGAGAAAUUGCUCAAUCAGAUUAAAGAAAAGUUUAUAUGGAUUAAAACAAUCUUGAUGUAUGUGGUACAAUCAUUUUAGUGAAUACUUAUUAAAAGAAGGUUACAAAAACAAUCCAAUUUGUCCAUAUGUCUUUAUAAAAAGGUUUGGAUCAGAUUUUGUGAUAAUUAUUGUUUAUGUUGAUAAUCUAAAUAUUAUUAGAACUCCUGAAGAGCUUCAAAAUAAAAUAAAUUGUUUAAAGAAAGAAUUUGAGAUGAAAGAUCUUAAAAAACAAAGUUUUAUCUUAACUUAUAAAUCGAGCAUUUAAAAGAUGGAAUUCUUGUUCAUCAAUCAACUUAUAUAGAAAAGAUAUUAAAGAAAUUUUACAUGGAUAAAGUACACCCAUUGAGUACUCCGAUGGUUGUACAAUCAUUUGAUGUGAAUAAUGAUCAAUUUUGUCCUUGGGAGAAUGAUGAAGAGUUUAUUGGUCCUGAAGUACCAUAUUUAAGUGUCAUAGGCCAUUGAUGUAUCUUGCAAACAACACAAAACCUGAUAUAGCUUUCGCUGUAAACUUGUUAGUAAGGUUUAGUUCUUCUCCAACACGUAGACAUUGGAAUGGAAUUAAACAUGUAUUUAGAUAUCUCAGAAGGACCAUUGAUAUGGGUUUAUUUUAUUCAAAUGAUUCAAAAUCCCUAUUAGUCGGCUAUGCUAAUGCUAGAUACUUAUCAGGUCCACAUAAAGGUCGAACUCAAAUAGGACAUUUAUUUACAUGUGCCAUAUCAUAGCGUUCAACAAAGCAAACAUUACUUGCCACUUCUUCAAAUCAUAUAGAAAUAAUUGCAAUGCAUGAGGUAAGUCGAGAUUGUGUUUGGCUAAGGUUAUUGACCCGUGUCUUUGGCUAAGGUUAUGGACCCAACAUAUCCAGAAGAUAUGUAAUUUGCCUUUACAGGAAAAGAUGUCAACUAUCUUAUAAGAAGAUAAUGUAACAUGUAUAGCUCAAUUGAAGGGUGAUUACAUCAAAGGUGAUAGAACAAAAUAUAUUUCACCAAAAUUAUUCUUCACACAUGAGCUUGAGAAAAGAGGUGAUAUAAAUGUUCAACAAAUUUGUUCUAGUGAUAAUUUAGUAGAUCUUUUUACUGAGGCAUUACCAACUUCAACAUUUGAAAGACUACUAGACAAGAUUAGAAUGUGUCAACUCAAAGACUUAAUAUAAUGUUGUCAUUAGGGGAGUCUAAAACAAGUUGUACACUUUUCCUUUAACCAAGGUUUUGUCCCAUUGAGUUUUCCUGGUAAAUGUUUUUAAUGAGGCAGCUUGUAAUAGAAGAUUGUGUACUCUUUUUCCUUCAUUAGGUUUUUAUCCCACAGGGUUUUUCAUAAUAAGGUUUUUGUAACGCCCCAAUUUUCGGGAAUUCUGUGAAUGUUGGCAUAGGUUUAAUUAUGUUAGUGGGCCUCUAGAAAGCCCAAACUUAAGAUAGAACCCGACAAUUUUAGUUAAUUUUUGUUCCAUAAGAAAAAGGGGGUGAAAUUAUGAAAUAGGACCUAUGUGAAAAUGUUUGAAAAUGCUAUAGGCUAAAUUGAAGUGGCCAAAUAAAUAGGAGUGCAAAAUAGGAGGAUUUGCAUGACAAACCUCCCAUUUUACAUGAAGUGGCCAGCCAUCAUGUUGUUGUAGACAAAAUGUACACUUGAUAUCCAUAAUUUAUGGUACAAAUUCAUAAUAGGUUAGGUAAAUGUUCAAUGAUAAUAGGUUAGGUAAAUGUUCCAUGAUAAUAGGUUAGGUAAAUGUUUCAUGAUAAUGGGUUAGGUAAAUGUUUCAUGAUAAGAAUUUCAUGUCUUUGUAUUAAAAUAUUAAAUGGAUGAAAUAUGAAGUUUUAUUAAAAGAAAAAGGGGUGAAAAGAACAAAGUUUUGUCCAUCUUUGUUCAUCAUAGAUGAAAGUUAGAGAAGAGAAAGGAGAGGAGAAAGCUCUUGAGUAUUUGGUCAUUAGGAGGAGGAAAAUUGAAGGUAAGUUCUUGGUACCUUGCUUCUAUUUUGAGGUUCAUGAGUUCUUCUUGAUUAUACCUUAACUCUUGAAGUAUAUUUUGAUUUUUAGUUGUGUUGUGAGCAUUUAGUCAUGAAUUAAAAUGAAGGAAAUGGUUGUUGUUUCAUGUUCUUUUGAUGAAAACUGGAAGAUAGGUGAAGUUGAGCCAAACAAAUAAGCAUGCAUGUGCCUUAGAUUUUAAAGGGAAAAAUCAGCUAACAUGUUGUUCUUUAAAAUGAUGAAAUGGAGAUUAUACUUAAGUAAAAUCAUAGAUAUGUGAUUAUUGAUUGGUGAUAUACAUGUUUAAAUAACAAGCAUGCAAGUUAGGUGUGAAAGAGUGAUUUGGUAAUAAAUCUGCUUGGGACAGCAGCAGUAACGUGACUUUGGAAAAUCACCAUAAAUUGUGGAAGAUGAGUUAGAAGCUUCAUAAAUUAUGUAAUUAAAUAUUAUUGAGUCUAGUUUCUAAUGAAAUAAACAAGAACAUAUUUUGAAUUCUGUACUAUGAGAAAUUUGAUUCGUAAUGAAGGGUGGUCAGAUUAGUCAAACAGUGAAAUAUGGGAAACUUUGAGAAAAAUCUGGUAUUGAUUGGCUAAACCAAAAAUUCUGAAAAUUUUAUGGAUAGAAGAUAUAUGAGUCUAUUUUUAGGGAAAAUUAACGGCACUUAAUUUGGAGUUUCGUAGCUCCAGUUAUAAAUAAUUUAGUGACUGUUGCUUAGGAAGAUAGCUUGCAGUGAAAUUAUGAUUAUGUGGUAAACAUUGACAAAAAUUUGUUAAUGAGUUGCUUAUUGAUUUUUUAUAAGCUUACUAUGAUCUGUAGGUGUGGUUGGCCGAAUAUUGUAAGGGGUUAAUACGUAGUUUGUAUUUGAAUAGUUAGAUUAACGUGUUAGUAAUCCAAUUGUAGGCGGUUCGUGUGUGGAUCUCGUCAGCAUAUCGUCGCAAACAGGUGUGUAACUGACACCCUCUCAUAGACUAGAUUGGCAAAAGCCGAAAAGUCAAAAUGCCGAAAAGUCGGUAUUUUGGGAAUUUGUGAGUGUGCGAAUGCUCGUAAGAUAGUUAGGUUUGUAUAUUUGGUAAUCUAAAGUAAUAAACUGCAGUACGCGCGAUUUCGUACAUUUUGAUAAUUUGGGCUUAAUGGGCCAAAGAUCGGGUUCAUGGGCCAACGGGCCCAAUUCGGUAAGUAUGCGCGGUAAGUGUUCUGAUAGUACGUAAAUAGUUAGGAUAUGCAUGAAAACCCUGAAAGUAGCUAAAUUACUAUAAUACCCCUAUGUAUGGAAAAUUACUGUUAUACCCCUAGGUACAAAAUUACCGUUAUACCCGUAGGGUUAAUUUUGACUGAAAAGCAUAGCGAUCUGAUUCUGUAUGAUGGAUGCCAUGAUUAUAUAUUUGUUGCAUGGGGACAUGGGUUAUAUUAUGGAGGAAGCGUUCUGGUGGCUAUGCCACAAAUAUCUGAUCUGAUGGCUCUGCCACAUAUAUCUGUUCUGGUGGCUCUGCCACGAUUAUUUGUAUCUGGUGACUCUGUCACAUUAUCUGUUCUGGCAUCCAUGCUACAAAUUCUGUGGUGUGUAGCGGUUGGGUGGGUCGAGUUGUCUCCCCACACGGUGUAAGGUUGGUACGCGGGUGUAUACGGUUGGAUAUGGUUGGAUUUCUGCAUAAACAUGUAAUAUCUGUUAUGUUCUGUUAUGGGCCUAUGGGCUUUAUUCUGAAUUCUGUUUUAGGCUAAGGCCAACUUAUUCUGUUUCUGUGGGUUGAGCUGAUUUAGACUAUGGUUGGGUUAUUUUACACACUGAGUUUCCCCAAACUCAUCCCUUUUAUUUUCAUCCACGCAGGUAAUCCCCAACCAUAGUGGGCUUGGAGCUGUGAGGGAAUUCGGAGUGGCCACCCAUUCUAAAAGUUUGAUUUUCUUCUGGUGAACUGAACAUCCUUUUAUUUACGUUUGAAGUUUUGGGUUUUUAAAUGUAAUAAGGCCGCUUAAUUAUUUUUGAUGGUUUUAAUAUGUAUUACUAAGAUAGGUAUUACUUAUUUUAACUGUUGAAAUUGGAUAGCUUUAGGGCGCGUUUUCAAAAAUAACAAUUGAUUUCAAAAUAACACGACAACAAGCAAAGCUUCCGCAAUGAAAGUAUUUUCCAAAAUUAAUCACUUUUCCUAAAAAUGACUUAAUUAAAUCGGUUUUCUAGAAAUAUCCAUGACGUUAAGGUGUGGCUAUGGCGGUAUGCAUGUCUAGGAUUGGAUCCGAAGGGAGCUUGGUACUUAAGCAGUCCGAUGGACUCACCACCUCUUUUCCGGUUUCCUACCUGGUGCACAGCUUCCAUUCACCUUAACCCUUAAUGAAUUAAUUUUUUGAACAUCAAGUACGAUUUUUUUGACUUAGAAUGAAAAAAAAAAUUUAAUGUUUUUAAUGUGGCAUGCCGGAUCCGGCCAUAACUUCUGGGCCGGGUUUGGGGUGCUACAUUUAGUGGUAUCAGAGCCUAGGUUACAACAGCUCAGCUGUGGAAUGGUUUUACAAAAUUUAGAUCUUCGAAAACAAAAAUUUUAUAAAGAUUGCAAAAAACGCAGUUUUCAAAAUUUAGAUCUUUAGAUGGUGGCAUUCCGAAUCUCCGGCUCAAGCCUGUAAGUAUUACUCUGAACUCUUCUGAAUAUUUUUUUGAAUUAUCGGUCUGUACUGAAAUCCUGUUAGGAUACUCUAGAUAGGGUGAUACUGAAACCAUAGGAAAAUCUGAUAAGAGACUGAAACUGUAGCUAGACUUCGAUUCUGUGAAAACAAACUUUGAAUUACUGUCUGAUUCAUAAAACAUCUGUAAUAAACACUGGAAUAUUGAAUUGAUGCAUAAAAAUUCGUAAUCAAGAUCAAUCGAUAUGAGUACGAGAGCUACUCAGGGAAGAGGCUGUGGUCGAGGCCGAGGUAGUACUCAAGCUGGAUCUUCGUCUUCUGAACACAUACCCACUGGAGUAGCACGACCACUACCGACGAAUGAGAAUGGGCCGUAUGAUAGAGCCGCCAAGGAUGAUGUCCUGUAACAGGCAAUGCUUCGUGUUCUGGAAAGGGUUGCCGGAGCAAGUUCGGGCAACGAAAUUCAGGGAUCUAUUUCUGAAUGACUUCGGGACUAACGGAACGGAGAUCUUUAAGGGCAUGUUUGGUAUAGCCCCGAAUGUGGCGGAAUAUUGGUUGGAGGCCACAGAACGGAUUAUGGACGACUUAGACUGCUCUGAGGAGAUUGUGAGUGGGGUAUCUGUACUAAGUCCCUUGGGUCACUCGAUUAGGGUAGACAAACUGUAUAGGAAUGUACCCUUAGAAACUCAAGGCAAGGUUUUUCCUGGAGAUCUGAUGGAGUUACCGUUCGGAGAGUUUGACCUCAUUCUGGGAAUGGAUUGGCUUGUUAAGCAUAAGGCGACUCUGGAUUGUGCUGCUAAACGAAUGGUGUCAAGAACUACAAAGGAUGAGGAGGUUAUGGUGAUAGGUGAGAGAAGGGAUUAUUUGUCCAAUGUGGUGUCGGCAUUAAGAGCCGAAAAGUGGAUUCGGAAAGGUUGUGAGGCCUAAUUGGUAUUUGUAAGUCAGUCGGAAGAGAAGGGACUGACAGUGGAUAAGGUUAGGACCAUAAAGGAGUUCCAAGAUGUUUUUCCGGAGGAGCUUCCAGGAUUGCCUCCGAAUCGAGAAGUUGAGUUUGGAAUAGACUUGUUGCCUGGAAUGGCGCUUGUGUCUAUCGCACCGUAUAGGAUGGCACCGAAGGAGUUAGUAGAUUUAAAUGCUCAAAUUCAAGAGUUGUUGGAUAAGGGCUUUAUUAGGCCAAGCGUGUCUCCAUGGGGAGCACCGGUGCUACUCGUGAAGAAGAAGGAUGGUACAAUGCGGAUGUGCAUUGAUUAUCGCCAGUUGAACAAACUGAUAAUUAAGAAUAAGUAUCCACUGCCAAGGAUUGACGAUAUAUUCGACUAGCUUAGAGGAGCUUCUGUAUUUUCCAAGAUCGACCUUUAACUGGUUAUCAUCAGUUAAGGGUUAAGGAGUCAAAUAUCCAUGAGACGGCAUUCAGGACUCGGUAUGGUCAUUACGAGUUUCUGGUUAUGCCAUUUGGACUGACGAACGCUCCUACAGCGUUUAUGGAUCUGAUGAAUCAUGUGUUCCAACUAUUUUUAGAUCAAUUCGUAGUCGUCUUCAUUGUCGAUAUCCUGGUAUAUUCUGAAACUGAAACGAAACAUGAUGAGCAUCUCCGUAUAGUGCUGUAAGUAUUAAGGGAGAAGGAACUCUUUGCGAAGUUCAGCAAGUGUGAAUUUUGGUUGAGGGAGGUAACCUUCUUAGGACAUGUGGUCUCUGCUGAGGGGAUUAAGGUGGACCCUCGGAAAAUUGAAGCGAUUUUGGAGUGGAAGCCGCCUAGGUCAGUGUCAGAAAUACAGAGUUUUCUAGGACUGGCAUGAUACUACAGAAGGUUUGUGGAAGGUUUUUCUGUGAUGGCAACACCUCUGACAAAACACAUAAGGAAAAGAGUACCGUUUGUAUGGACUAAGAAACAGCAGGAAGCUUUUGAGAAGUUGAAGAAAGUUCUGACUGAAGCACUUGUGUUAAUUCAGCCGGAGUUUGGGAAUGAUUUUACUGUGUACAGUGACGCAUCACACGUGGGUUUGGGCUGCGUGUUAAUGCAAGAGGGUAAGGUGGUUGCAUAUGCAUCACGAUAGCUUAAGCCUCAUGAAGGAAACUAUUUGACUCAAGAUUUAGAGUUGGAAGCAGUGAUAUUUGCACUUAAGAUUUGGAGACAUUACUUGUACGGAGAAAGGUGUAUUACAUACACUGACCAUAAGAGUCUUAAGUAUUUGUUGACUCAGAAGAAGCUGAACCUUAGGCAAAGGAGAUGGAUUGAGUUGCUUAAGGAUUAUGACUGUUCGAUCGAGUAUCACCCAAGCAAGGCUAAUGUGGUAGCUGAUGCUCUAAGUCGUAAAGCUGUAUCUGAUCUGAGAGCAAUGUUUGCUCGUCUGAGUCUGUAUGAUGAUGGAAGUCUGUUGGCUGAGUUGCAAGUGAGGCCAACCUGGGUGGAUCAGAUUAAGGAAAAACAGUUUAACGAUGAGUCUUUGGUCGCUCGUUUUCAACAAGUUAAGGGAGGGGAAACUUCUGAGUUUGGGAGCCAGAAGAGACGAUGCAACAGCAAUACCCUCAUCUGUUUGGAUUAGGUAAAUUUCGAGGAUGAAAUUUCUUUAAGGAGGGUAGAGUUGUAACGCCCCAAUUUUCGAGAAUUCUGUGAAUGUUGGCAUAGGUUUAAUUAUGUUAGUGGGCCUCUAGAAAGCCCAAACUUAAGAUAGAACCCGACAAUUUUAGUUAAUUUUUGUUCCAUAAGAAAAAGGGGGUGAAAUUAUGAAAUAGGACCUAUGUGAAAAUGUUUAAAAAUGCUAUAGGUUAAAUUGAAGUGGCCAAAUAAAUAGGAGUGUAAAAUAGGAGGAUUUGCAUGACAAACCACCCAUUUUACAUGAAGUGGCCAGCCAUCAUGUUGUUGUAGACAAAAUGUACACUUGAUAUCUAUAAUUUAUGGUACAAAUUCAUAAUAGGUUAGGUAAAUGUUCAAUGAUAAUAGGUUAGGUAAAUGUUCCAUGAUAAUAGGUUAGGUAAAUGCUCCAUUAUAAUGGGUUAGGUAAAUGUUUCAUGAUAAGAAUUUCAUGUCUUUUGUAUUAAAGAAUUAAAUGGAUGAAAUAUGAAGUUUUAUUAAAAUAAAAAGGGGUGAAAAGAACAAAGUUUUGUCCAUCUUUGUUCAUCAUAAAUGAAAGUUAGAGAAGAGAAAGGAAAGGAGAAAGCUCUUGAGGAAUUUGGUCAUUAGGAGGAGGAAAAUUGAAGGUAAGUUCUUGGUACCUUACUUCUAUUUUGAGGUUCAUGAGUUCUUCUUAAUUCUACCUUAACUCUUGAAGUAUAUUUUGAUUUUUAGUUGUGUUGUGAGCAUUUAGUCAUGAAUUAAAAUGAAGGAAAUGGUUGUUGUUUCAUGUUCUUUUGAUGAAAAAUGGAAGAUAGGUGAAGUUGAGCCAAACAAAUAAGCAUGCAUGUGCCUUAGAUGUUAAAGGGAAAAAUCAGCUAACAUGUUGUGCUUUAAAAUGAUGAAAUGGAGAUUAUACUUAAGUAAAAUCAUAGAUAUGUGAUGAUUGAUUGGUGAUAUACAUGUUUAAAUAACAAGCAUGCAAGUUAGGUGUGAAAGAGUGAUUUGGUAAUAAAUCUGCUUGGGACAGCAGCAGUAAUGUGACUUUGGAAAAUCACCAUAAAUUAUGGAAGAUGAGUUAGAAGCUGCAUAAAUUAUUUAAUUAAAGCUUAUUGAGUCUAGUUUCUAAUGAAAUAAACAAGAACAUAUUUUGAAUUCUGUACAAUGAGAAAUUUGAUUCGUAAUGAAGGGUGGUCAGAUUAGUCAAACAGUGAAACAUGGGAAACUUUGAGAAAAAUCUGGUAUUAAUUGGCUAAACCAAAAAUUCUUAAAAUUUUAUGAAUAGAAGAUAUAUGAGUCUAUUUUCAGGGAAAAUUAACGGCACUUGAUUUGGAGUUUCGUAGCUCCAGUUAUAAAUAAUUUAGUGACUGUUGCUCAGGAAGACAGCUUGCAGUGAAAUUAUGAUUAUGUGGUAAACAUUGACAAAAAUUUGUUAAUGAGUUGCUUAUUGAUUUCUUAUAAGCUUACUAUGAUCUGUAGGUGUGGUUGGCCGAAUAUUGUAAGGGGUUAAUACGUAGUUUGUAUUUGAAUAGUUAGAUUAACGUGUUAGUAAUCCAAUUGUAGGCGGUUCGUGUGUGGAUCUCGUCAGCAUAUCGUCGCAAACAUGUGUGUAACUGACACCCUCUCAUAGACUAGAUUGGCAAAAGCCGAAAAGUCAAAAUGCCGAAAAGUCGAUAUUUUGGGAAUUUGUGAGUGUGCGAAUGCUCGUAAGAUAGUUGGGUUUGUAUAUUUGGUAAUCUAAAGUAAUAAACUGCAGUACGCGCGAUUUCGUACAUUUUGAUAAUUUGGGCUUAAUGGGCCAAAGAUCGGGUUCAUGGGCCAACGGGCCCAAUUCGGUAAGUAUGCGCGGUAAGUGUUCUGAUAGUACGUAAAUAGUUAGGAUAUGCAUGAAAACCCUGAAAGUAGCUAAAUUACUAUAAUACCCCUAUGUAUGGAAAUUUACUGUUAUACUCCUAGGUGCAAAAUUACCGUUAUACCCGUAGGGUUAAUUUUGACUGAAAAGCAUAGCGAUCUGAUUCUGUAUGAUGGAUGCCAUGAUUAUAUAUUUGUUGCAUGGGGACAUGGGUUAUAUUAUGGAGGAAGCGUUCUGGUGGCUAUGCCACAAAUAUCUGAUCUGAUGGCUCUGCCACAAAUAUCUGAUUUGAUGGCUCUGCCACAUAUAUCUAUUCUGGUGGCUCUGCCACGAUUAUCUGUAUCUGGUGACUCUGUCACAUUAUCUAUUCUGGCAGCUAUGCUGUAAAUUCUGUGGUGUGUAGCGGUUGGGUGGGUCGAGUUGUCUUCCCACACGGUGUAAGGUUGGUACGCGGGUGUAUACGGUUGGAUAUGGUUGGGUUUCUGCAUAAACAUGUAAUAUCUGUUCUGUUCUGUUAUGGGCCUAUGGGCUUUAUUCUAAAUUCUGUUCUGGGCUAAGGCCAACUUAUUCUGUUUCUGUGGGUUGAGCUGAUUUAGACUAUGGUUGGGUUAUUUUACACACUGAGUUUCCCCAAACUCAUCCCUUUUAUUUUCAUCCACGCAGGUAAUCCCCAACCAUAGUGGGCUUGGAGCUGUGAGGGAAUUCGGAGUGGCCACCCAUUCUGAAAGUUUGAUUUUCUUCUGGUGAACUGAACAUCCUUUUAUUUACGUUUGAAGUUUUGAGUUUUUAAAUGUAAUAAGGCCGCUUAAUUAUUUUUGAUGGUUUUAAUAUGUAUUACUAAGAUAGGUAUUACUUAUUUUAACUGUUGAAAUUGGAUAGCUUUAGGGCGCGUUUUCAAAAAUAACAAUUGAUUUCAAAAUAACACGACAACAAGCAAAGCUUCCACAAUGAAAGUAUUUUCCAAAAUUAAUCACUUUUCCUAAAAAUGACUUAAUCAAAUCGGUUUCCUAGAAAUAUCCAUGACGUUAAGGUGUGGCUAUGGCGGUAUGUAUGUCUAGGAUUGGAUCCGAAGGGAGCUUGGUACUUAAGCAGUCCGAUGGACUCACCACCUCUUUUCCGGUUUCCUACCUAGUGCACAGCUUCCAUUCACCUUAACCCUUAAUGAAUUAAUCUUUUGAACAUCAAGUACGAUUUUUUGGACUUAGAAUGGAAAAAAAAAUUUAACGUUUUUGAUGUGGCAUGCCGGAUCAGGCCAUAACUUCUAGGCCGGGUUUGGGGUGCUACAGUUUUAAUGAGGCACAUUAUCUAGCAAUGGACAUCCAAGGGGGAGUGUUAUGAAUAUCUUAUUAAGUGGAUGUCCAUCAUGAUCAAGAUAAAGUUUUAAUAUACUUUAAAUUCUAAUAGUUAUUAGACUUAGAUCUCUACUUCUUUUCUACUUCUUAUGCCUAUAAACAGAGACUCUGAUGAAGCAUUGUAAUCAUCCUUUUGAUCAAUAAAAUAUAUUCUCUAUUGCUUCCUAUAUAUUAUUUGUUCUUUAGUCUCUCUAUCUCUCUUUAUUUUAUAGCAAGUGUUCUUAAAUUCACUGAUUAAAAAAAAUUAUGAAGGACCUUAUUAAUUAAAAAUUUUGUUAAUAAAUAUUAUAAAUUAUAUUAUCGAUGCAUUUUAAGGAUAUUUUUUUUUGUCGAACUUUGCAAAAGGUCUCUUUGCUAUGCCUUUCUACUAUAAUAUAAUAUUUUUAGUCCAUCUAACAGUUUUUUUAUAAAUGUGAUGUUUGAAGCGGAAGUGAUGUUGAUAAAAGGCGAAAAGUUUGGUAGACUAUUGAAGGAGAAAUGGGAGUUUGAUGCAAAUUAGGAGGGAGUGUUGGAACUUAAACUCAACGUCUAUCCUAUGAACUUAUAAUGCGACUUGUUCUUGAGGAAGAAAUCAAAGAAUAAGAGGUGAUAGAUGCUCUAUGGUCAUGGUUUUUAGUUUAUUUAUAUGUGGUGUAGGUCAAACUUCUUUUGUUUCUAUUGCUUUAUUUGAGAUCCUACAUCGUCAACUUUAUUUUGUAUUAGGUGUGUGGUGUUCUUUUAAAAGCUCUACGUCCAAGUCAACUUUAGGUCCUACCCAACUGUUUUCUUAUUUUUUGCCUUUGGGAACCUAAUCUUACUCUUCUUUCCAACUCUAAUUUUGAUUCACCUUCUUACUUUAAGCCCAACAUUAAGCAAGAGGCAAGUUCACCAUUAAUUUAUUCUUCAGCUUUUAACUUUGUAGUUUUGUUGGUUUAAGGAGAAGGAAACUGUAUUCUAAUCUUAUGUUAGUGAAAACAAAUUUAAUACUAUAAUUGGUGGGGUAGAAGAUUAUUUGUUGAAAUCAUCAUAUUGUGGGGAUGAGAAUGGUAUUGAACUAUUAUGUACCUUCUCUUUUGCGGAAGAAGUGAUUGUAUGCCUCCAAGGAGUACAAAUGAAGUUGGAUCUUGACUUCCAAAGGGUGAUUUUGGAAGGGGUAGUCUCACAGUGGUGAAGAAACUACAAAAUAAAAAGGAAGAUAUAUAGAGAUCAACCCUAUUAUCAAAUAUGUGAAAAGAGCUCGUCGGGCCUUCGUGGAGUGUAGAUUUAAUUUUGUGGGGAGAAAUGCAAAUGAGACAGCACACCGGUAAGCAAAAGAAUGAUUAUUCAAUGGUGAAACUUACUUACCUGAUGGAGGGAACUCUUGAGGCAGUAUAGAAAGCAACGGAGGAAGAUAAUUGCUGGGCUAAGUUAGGACAUUUGCAUCGUUCUGGUUUCCUUAAGAGGGAUCCUUGAUAGGACUGAAAGGAAAUGAAAGGUUUCUGCGUGUGAAGUCUCUAUCUACUUUUCUAGAUUUAAGAGUAUAGUAAUUGUCAUAACUGAGUUGAUUCCUCAUUUUAAUUAUGCCUUUAGUGCUGAG